GCAUCAUUUCAUUGACGCUGGGAGAAUUCAGUACUCGCAGUUACUGUAGAUAUUUCUCUACCCCUGCACUUUUAAAGGAACGACAGGACAAACUCAAGUUUCCUCAAUGAUCUGCAUACUGCUGGUAGCCGGCCACGGCACCGUCUUAGAGACACAAAUUAAGAAUGAUGACACAGGCUUAUACAGCCACCUGACUGGGGUACCAAAGGCCUUACUUCCUGGCACUGGUGGAAAGAAGAUCCUUGACUUUUGGUGGGAGACAGUCAACAUGCGGCAGCUGUUCACAGAGGUGUAUCUGGUCACUAAUGCAGACAAGUAUAAGUACUACGAGCGCUGGGCCACAGCGAAUGACUUCCCGGUGGAAAAUGUGGUGAAUGACGGCAGCACUACGUUGGAGGACCGUCUCGGAGCCGUGGCUGACCUGCAGCUGGCCAUACGCAGCCGCAAGCUCCAGGACGACAUCAUUGUGAUUGCUGGAGACAUGCUGUGUGCAGACCAGAACUUUGACAUUGCUCAAGUGAUCCGCUUCUUCAAGUCAAAGCCUGGAGAGCUGAUCAUAUACUAUGAGCUGGAAGAGAGUGAGAAAAGCAGCUCCAGGGGCAUCGUGGAGGUAUGCCCUGACACCCACAGGAUAACUCGCUUCUUGGAGAAACCGCAGGAAGGCCUGACAGAAUCCCGGCUGGCCAGCGUAGUGUUUUACUGCAUCCAGAGAGACACGCUGCCCUACCUGUCUGACUUCCUCAGCCUGCAGCCUCAAGCCACAGACAGGAGCUUCGGACGAUUCUGGGAGUGGCUCAUUAAUGAGAAGCAGCUGGAUGUGUUUGGGAUGAAGCUUCCUACUGGCUUCCAGCUCAUCGGACAAGUGGGCCUGUCAGACUACACCAAGUGGCUCACCCACUACUCCACCAAGCCACAAGACAACCCCGCUAAACCAAUCACGUGCCGAUCAUAUGCCAGAGUUGGAUUAAUGGGGAAUCCCUCAGACGGCUUCAAUGGGAAAACCAUUGCUAUGUCCAUCUCCAACUUCUGGGCCGAGGUCACUCUAGUGGAGAGCCAGACUUUGGUUUUAGUCCCUCAUCCGCUCAAUGACCCCACAGAGUUUGGAAGCUUGCAAGAUCUGUUCUGCAUCAGCAGGAAAGAAGGGUACCUGGGAGGUCUGCGGCUGCUGCAGGCCACCUGUAAGAAGUUCUACCAGUUCUGCUCCAAACAAGGUAUUGCACUGACAAAGCAGAACUUCACACUGAAGUACGACACCAACAUUCCUCGGCAAGUGGGCCUUGCUGGAAGCAGUGCCAUCGUCUCAGCUACCCUCAAGUGCCUUAUGAAAUUCUACAACAUCACAGACAAUGAUCUCCCGAAGCCGAUCCGAGCCAACUUCAUCCUCAACGUGGAGACUGAUGAACUUUUCAUUACUGCUGGCCUGCAGGACAGAGUUGUUCAGGUCUAUGAAGGAUUAGUCUACAUGGAUUUUAGCAAGAAGCUCAUGGAGGAUCAGGGCUAUGGGAACUAUGUUUCUAUGGACAUGAGUGGGCUCCCACCGUUCUGGCUGGCUUACCUGAGCGACCCCAGUGACUCUGGACGGAUCCACAGCAACAUCAGACAGCGCUGGCUCAGCGCUCCCCCUGCAGGUCACAGUUCCAUCAGGUCAUAGACGUUCAUGGUUCUCAGAGGAUAAAUCUUGCUGACUUCGGUGAUCUUCCUCCAUUGGCUGUUGCACCACUAUGAGGUUCACGUUUGCGGUUUUAAAUGAAACGUCCCGACAACUAUUGGCUGGAUUUUCAUGGCAUACUUUACCUUACGUCACCAGGAUAAUCCACCCAGCUUUCCAGGGCAGUCUGAGUACAUUGAUAACUGAUGUGCAUGUUCCCGUCUGAGUCGUACCAACUUUGUUUUUUCCUUUAGUCUCAGAUUUAAUAGGCAAUACUUUGGUUAAUAACCAAAUACCCUCAAAACUAAUGACUUUCCCAUUAGCCCAAUGCUAAGACAGUGAACAUGGUGAAGUGGUAUCUACUAAACAUCAUUGUCUUUGUGAGCAUGGUAGCGUGCUUACAUUAGCAGUUAUCACAAAGCACCGCUAUGCCUACGUACAGCCUCGCAGAGCCACUACCAUGGCUGUAUUUAAUCUCAUUUUAUAGCCACAAAGUAUUCUUUACUGGGCAGAAAAGCUGCUGAUAUAAAGAGCAACACAUUUCAGUUUUCUAUAAACAGACAAAAAAGUUGUUUUAAAAUAACAUGCAAGCCCAUGUGCACAUUUACAUCUUUCUGUUCCUGUUAGGAGAAACUGGAAACACAUUGGUUCGUUUGAUGAACUACUUUCAUGUUGCUCUCUCUCGACAGGGGAGCCUCUGGUAGUCGAGGCCAUGAAGACUUUUGCUGAGCUCACAGAUCAAGCCAGGGCAGCUCUGCAGAACAGAGACUGGGGCACUCUGGCACAGCUGAUGGACCAGAACUUUGAGCUGAGGAGGACUGUCUACACUGAUGACUGU